CAAGUCGAACGGAGAUUACAGGCGGAAGUUUUCGGAUGGAAGCUUGUAAACUUAGUGGCGGACGGGUGAGUAACACGUGAGCAACCUGCCUAUCAGAGGGGGAUAACGAUUGGAAACGAUCGCUAAUACCGCAUGACAUAGCGGAAUCGCAUGGUUCUGUUAUCAAAGAUUUUAUCGCUGAUAGAUGGGCUCGCGUCCGAUUAGAUAGUUGGUGGGGUAACGGCCUACCAAGUCGACGAUCGGUAGCCGGACUGAGAGGUCGAACGGCCACAUUGGGACUGAGACACGGCCCAGACUCCUACGGGAGGCAGCAGUGGGGGAUAUUGCACAAUGGGGGAAACCCUGAUGCAGCGACGCCGCGUGAGGGAAGACGG
rnacentral:rRNA from 1 species